rnacentral:lncRNA from 1 species
CAACAUAAAACUUACUUAAAACUUGCUUAACUUUGAAAGAUUUGAAGAAAAACCAUGAAAACCAUCCAAGGAGAACAAGAACUCACCUCUGUUAGUGAAAGGGAAGCAAAUCUUAUCCAUUUCACCGACUGAGGGUCCUUUAUAGCUGGCUGACCACCUCUCCUUCGGCGGCCUAACCUGCAUGCAAAACCAUGCAAUGUUCG